UUUUUUGAGAGUUUGAUCCUGGCUCAGGAUAAACGCGGGCGGCGAGCUUAACACCGGCAAGUCGAACGGAGUGGUUCUCCCGAGGAUUGAAGGUGCUUGCACCAGAUUGACUCAAUUGAAUCACUUAGUGGCGGACGGGUGAGUAACGCGUGGGUAACCUGCCUCACACUGGGGGAUAGCAGUUGGAAACGACUGAUAAUACCGCAUAAGCGCACAAUACCGCAUGGUAUAGUGUGAAAAACUCCGGUGGUGUGAGAUGGACCCGCGUCUGAUUAGCUAGUUGGUGAUGUAACGGCCCACCAAGGCGACGAUCAGUAGCCGGCCUG
rnacentral:rRNA from 1 species